GUUACCAGAAAUAUGAUCUGAUGCACCUGAAUCAGUGACCCAAAACUCCGAGGAUAAGAUUGGGAGAAACAAGUCACGCUAUUACCUGUUAGAACAACAUAAGCUAUCUUAGAAGAUGUCUGCUUACAUGCUUUGUGCUGAAGGAACUCAAUAUAAUCUGCUACAGAAACCAUCUGACUAUUCAAAGUAUCGGCUCCCAUGUCGCUACAAUUUGUAGUGGUAGGGUUAACUUGAAAUAGUGGAAAUAAGUAACUCCUAUGGGAAAACUGAAGAAAUAGCUGGGAAAACACUGCUUACAGCAGAAAACAGAAAAUUAUUUUGCGACGGAAAUACUGUUCACAUCGGAAAACACUGUAGCUCGCCGGAAAAUUGUAAAGUUGUCGGAACCAGGAUGGAUAAACUCAGAAUUACCUUGCGAGCAAGCUGUCCUGAAGAAAUGUUUUCAAACAAAAUGGCCGGAAAAGUCAUUGUUCACGCCGGAAAAAUAUAAAAGUGGUCAGAAUUUGAUUUGAAUUAGAUUGGUAGGCUCAGAAUUGUAAGGAGAGCAUACUGUCCUGAAGAAGCUUCGCGAAAAAAUGGCCGGAACCUUCGCCGGAAAAGUUGUUGCCGGCGCGUAGCAGCUUUUCUGCCAAAUAAAUUUUCAGGGGUUGGUCGUCGGAGGGUGAUCUACCUCGUGGUGGUGUUGGUUUUAGCACAACACCGACAGAAAGUGACUUUCAUGUAGACAUGCCUUAGGUCACCGGAAAAAUUGCACGAUGACUAAGUUUUUUCUUUCCGGUUAACGCUGGAAUGACGCACAUCGAUCUUUUCUCACUAAUGCUCUGAUACCAUGUGAGAAAGUACAGGAGAAAAUAUAUUAUUGAUAUUAGAUAUUCAAUAUAAUACAAGAGGUCCUAUUUAUAACUAUCAAAGUACAUAUUACUCCCAUUCCAAUGUGGGACUACACAUAACUAACAAGUAAAAAUAGGGUCCAGGUAAUAUUAUUUGUUAUCCUACGGUCAAAACACAAACACAACAUUUUAUUUUCAAAAACCUACGCACAAAACCUACGCACACACCUCUCUCUCUCACCUUUGCACUCCUACGCACAAAUGCACCUCCUCCGUCACUUCUUCUUCUUCUCCGGUCAGAAUCCGACAACUCUAAGAAUCUCAGGUAUGUUUCAAUCUCUUCUCUCUCGUUUCUCCAUUCACUCGCUGGUACAUCUCCUCUUGAGGUUGACGUUGAUUACCCUUCAUCUUUUGCUCAGAACCCAAGACAUGAAUACCUUCCACAUCAUGUAUGUGCCGCGACGCUUGAGUUUGUUGAAGUUGCGCUUUUGCAAGUUGAUUCAUAGUGGUGGUCAACUCGGCAAUGGCUUGACCAUGAUCUUGCAACUCCCUGUUGAGGUGAAUCAUAUUCGGAUCCUCUUGAGGCAUAUUUGCUCGGGAUUACCAAGCGGAUGAUGUCUCCGCCAUCUCAUCAAGUAUGGCACAAGCCUCCUGGUAAGGCGUGGUCAUAAAGUUUCCACCUGCAAGUUGGUUCCCUAAACAUUGAUUGGUUGUGUUAAUAGAAGUUUUUUUUUUUUUUUUGAUGAAGUAAGAGAAUUUCAUUAAAGACAUCAAGAAGAUGCAUAGCAAAAGAAACCCAUGUUAAAACUAAGGAGCAGACACAAUCCAAAAAAUGAUCACAACUAGAUACAGGUGCCUGAUUAAGCCAAGUAAAAAGGUUAAAUAAACAUUUAGCUCUAAGAGCAUGAUUUGGAGUUUAUAUCCCAUCAAAACAUAAGCUUUCCCUUUCGGUCCAUAUACACCAGAAAAUAGAAGCAGGGACCAAAAGCCAAGUUCUUUUGAUGGAUUUGCCAACUCUCCAAGAGCACCAGUUUUCGUAGGCCUCUUUAAUACUAUUAGGCAUGACCCAGGCUAGUCCAAAAAUUGAAAAGAACAUCACAAAUCUGCUGCAAUUGCACAAUGGAGAAAAAGAUGCCUCACACUCUCUGCCUUCAUCUGACACAUGCAGCACCUAUUGACAAUGUAGAUGUUCCUCCGACUUAGAUUAUCUUGAGUGAGACAUGCUUCAUAUAAGGUUAUCCAAGUGAAGCCAAUUACUUUAGGUGGAAGUUUAGUUCUUUAGAUGAGUUUCCAUGGCCAGUUGUCGAUCAACUCCUUGUUUGAGCACAAAUGUGCAUAACCUUUCUUGACAGUGAAUAUCCCAUCAUGUUGGCCAUCCCAUAAUAGUCUGUCUGUUUCCUAAGGUUUGAUAGCGACCCCUGCUAGCUUAGAUUGAAGCUCCAGAUAGUCAUUUAGCUCCCAGUCCUGGAAGUUUCUCCUUGUUUGUAGGUCCCAUGAGUUGUUGUGCCAUAUUUGACCCACUGUGUAGUUUUGAUUGCUAGCUAUGAGAUAUAAAUUUGGGUAGUCUUCUUUCGGAGUCUGGUUCCCUAACUACUUAUCCUUCCGGAAUGAUACAUGUGCUCCAUGCCAUAGUUUUAUUGAAGAUUUGAGCUGGAAUUCACCCCAUAUGCUUGAGAUAUGCUUCCAGCGACCAGUGCCAUGUGGUAAUCUGCACCACAUCUUUCCACAUCCCAGUGUUCUCCAUGUUGUGCCUCCAAUGCCACUUCAUUAGCAUGCUCUUGUUGUGCAAUGCUAGGUCUUUUAUGCCCAAUCCUCCAUGCUCCUUUGGCAGAAUCACUCUUGGCCAUUUCACCAGAUGAAAUUUGUUGUUUUGACUAUUUCAUUCCCACAUAAAGUUUCUUCUAAUCUUGUCUAGCCUUUUCUGCACCCUGGCUGGUAUAGGAAAUGGGGACAUGACGUAUGUUGUUAUGUUGUCCAGGACACUGUUAAUGAGUGUUAUUCUGCCCCCGAGUGAAAGAUACUGCAUUUGCCAAGUUUCAAGCCUUUUUUUCAAAUUUCUCUACUACCCCAUUCCAGAUAUCUUGUGACUUGACUUUGGCUCCAAGUGAUAGACCCAAAUAUGUUGUGGGAAAAGAUCCCACAUUGCAACCCAUUAGCUCUGCUAGCUCCUCCAUAUUUGGGACUGUUUACGGGGUAAAUAGUGCUCUUCAAUCUGUUCAUGUAGAGGCCGGAUAUAGCUUCAAAAAUCAUGAGUGUGAGGUUAAGAUAGAGCACAUGCGUCAGCUCCACAGAAAAUAAGCAGGUCAUCUGCAUACAAGAGAUGAGAGCCACUAAUUGAGUUCCCAACAGAACUUCCACCUUGAAACCCUCCAACCAGUGUAUUUGGUUUGCUUUGUCAAGCAUUUUGCUAAAUGCUCCAACAAGGGGAUCCUCUCUUACCCUUUUUGUUCAUUUUGCUAAGGCCUUCCAUUGCCAAAGUGAACAAAAAGGUUGAGAGCGGAUCCCCUUGUCUCAAUUCUUUCUGUGGGGAGAAGAAACCAACAUGACCUCCAUUGACAAGAACUGAAUACUUCACAGUGGUUACACAAAACUUGAUCCACCUGAUCCAACCUGCACCAAACCCUAUCUUCCCAAGUAUAUUGAAUAGGUAAGACCAGUUUAGCUGGUCAAAGGCCUUUUCAAUAUCAAGUUUGAAAAGGAGACCUGACUGCCCUGAUUUCUGUCUCCAGUCUAGUACCUCAUUAGCAGUUAGUGCAACAGUGAUUUGUCUUGUUUUGAUGAAUGCAUUUUGAUGCCCUGAGACAAGCUUCCCAAUGACUCUUUUCAGUCCUUGAGUUCUAUUGCACCUUUCUUCUUAGGAAUCAGUGCAAUAAAAGAGGCAUUGCAUGACCUGACCAUCUGUCCAUUUUGGUGAAAGUGUUGGAGUGCUCCCAUAAUAUCUUUAAUUAUCUCCCAUGAUUUCUGAUAAAAUGCCAUGGUGUAACCAUCUGGACCUGGAGCUUUGUCUGAAGCACACUCUUUAAUGACUGCUAUAACCUCAUUUUCUGUAAAUGUUCUCUCCAGCCACACUUUUUCUUCCCCUGUGAUUGUUGCAACAUCAUCAAACCUUGCUGUAGGUCUCCAAUUCUCAUUUUCUGUGUAGAGUUGCUGAUAGAAACUAAGAAUUUCACCCUUGAUGAGAUCUUUGUCUUCUGUAAUUUCAUCCCCUACUUUGAGUCUGUCAAUUCCAUUUGAUCUUCUGUUUGCAUUAGCCCUUUUCUGAAAAAACUUUGUGUUCCUGUCGCCUUCUUUGAGUCACAAGCAUCUUGAUUUUUGCCUCCACGAUAUUUCUUCUGCUUUGGCCAUUUAUUCCACUUCCAUUUUUAGGCUUAUGAUCUUCUCUUUCUCUUCCCGAGUUUGUAUUCUACCUUUAGUGUUCUGUUGCAAUGUGAGAAGGUCUUCUAGUGCUUUUCUUUUCUUAAGCCUAUCAAUCUCAAUUCCUCCUUAUUCCAGAUGGUAAGAUCUUUUUUGAGUAGCUUGAGUUUUUGUGUAACAGUGAAGUCGGGAUGGCCACUGACUUCAUAGCUCUGCCCACCAUGCCUUGACUUUAUUCAUGAAGCCCUUCAUCCCCAACCAUAUGUUCUCACAUUUAAAGUAAGAAGGGUUAGUGUUCCGGUCACCACAUUCUAGCAUCAGUGGAAUGUGAUCAGAGAUGACAUUAGGGAGAGCAAUCUGAUUGAUUUUGCUAAAGGAAUCAUUCCAUUCAUUUGAGAUAAAAAAUCUAUCUAUUCUAGAUGCUUGAAUGAUGUCCUCCCCUCUAGUCCAUGUGUAAAAAGUCCCCUGCAAAGGAAGAUCCACCAAGCAAAGAUCUUGAAUUACAUUUGAAAAAUUUCGCAUGGCCCUGGAUCUUUUCACACAAUUGAGUCUCUCAUUUUCGAAUCUGCAUACAUUAAAGUCCCCCCUUAUCACCCACUGAUUAGGCCAAAUCCCUCUUAUGGCUCCAAGUUCACUCCACAACUCUUCCCUUUCAAUGUUAGUGUGCGGCCCAUAGACCCCUGUGUAAAGCACCAACUGAAGGCCUCAUUUAGACUUUCCAACAUACAAGAGAGAGAGUAAAUCCCCUGCUGUAUUUGAGUGCAAUUCCACUGUCUUCUAUCCCACAUGAUGAUGAUCCCACCCCUAGUACCACUGGCUUUGAGUUCAGCCCAAUUGACCCAUCUGUUGCCCCAAAUCUGCCUGGCUAAGAAUCUGUUCCACUCUUCUAAUUUAGUUUCUUGAAGACAGAGAACAUCUGGUUUCCACUCACUGAUUAAUGAUUUAAGAGUGUCCCUCUUCCCAUUAUUAUUCAACCCCUUUAUGUUCCAGCUUAAAAUCUCAACUUUCAUCUGGAAAAUGAUUGGUAUUUCCUAUCCCUGUUCUUCUCUCACCCCAUCAUAAUUCACCGAGCAAAUCAAUCUCUUGACAGUUUCUCCCUUCGUCUUCUUUGUUUUCUUGCUCCUAUCCCUUGCUUUUGAUUACCAGUUGUUGUCUUCUUUGUUCCAUUCUCAUAAUCAUGUCGAAGAUUUCAUGCUCAAAACCCUUUACGUUGAUUCCAAACACCUUGCAUGCUUUCCCAUCACCAAUUUGGUCCACUUGGAUGUUUCAAUUAUAAAAGGAUUCUGAAUUCUCUGGUCUACAGAGUCGUACCAUGGAGAGAUGGACAGUCGCUGAAAGAGAGAGAAGAAUGAGCAGAAUCAGUGUCACUUACCAAUGGUGAAGUGAUCCCCAUAGUUGGCGCAGGUAGAAGAAGAGGGUAACUCCUUUCCUCUGCUUCAUCAUCUGCUUCCAGGUGUUGUUCUGUAUCUUUUGGUUGGUGAAAAUCUGACGAGGAUUUGAUAUGAGGAGUGGGUAAUAUAAUAGAUUGGCUAUGGAUUGGUGUAGUGGUAAUUGGGCCUCUAUAUUUCCAGAUUUGUUUGGGCCUUUUAUAAAUAAAUUUCUCCUUUCUUUUUUCCCUGUUUUUUGGGCUUUUAAAAUAGUAUGCGUGGUCCAAAGUUUUUGUACCCGAAGGCCCAGCAUUAUCCGGUUUAAAUGAAAAUUGAACCGGCAUCGAUUCUUUGCAAAAGUUGUCCAUCAAUUUUGAAUCCCUGUUAGGUCUGACCCCCACGUGAUACUUCACAUGCUUGUCAAUAGACUUGACAAUAGGUUUGGUGGGGUUUGAGGUGUUCUUUCCCUGACCCAUCCCCUUCAGAGAAACAACGACCUUCUUUCCGGCGAUUCGUACGUACUCAUCUGAUCCGUGCCCAUAUCAAAUUGGUUCUUGAUUUUGUAUCUAUGUCAAUUCCAACAAAGCCUCCACAUAAUUCCCGAUAGACCGGAAGGUGCUUUUUGACCAGACAUUUAACGGGAUACCAAAGGCUCUAACCUAUUUUUGAUCUGAGCGUGGCUUUGCCAUGUUAGACCCAGUCACCGACGACCACCAUUUAAGUGAUAACUUUCUUUAUUCCGAAACCACUCCCCUGCUUUAACUCUCUCGGCUUCCUGCUGUGAUGGCAGUUGAAAAAGGAAUUGAUUGUGAGUUAGACUUGUUACACUGAUUCUUGCUGUGACUUGCCAUCUCCUAACGAACUAGUUCCGUAACACCUAUGGUGAUGGUGAAGGACUGAAUGGGUUGUUGCGAGUACCAAUUAGGACAGUAGAUGAAAGAUUGAGUGCUGUUGCUUGCGUCUGGUAUGAUUUUGACUGUAUUAUCCUCCACCACAACUUUCCCACGGUAAAAGGUUUGUUGCAAUAUGUUCUCGGUCAUAUCGUUGUUAGGACAUUCCUUCACCACGGUUCUAUAGCGUUCCCAAAUUUCAUUUAGUGGCUCAUUUGGUUCUUGCUUGAAUGCCAAGAUUUCAUCCCUCAAAGUAGCCAUGUGCCAGGGUGAGAAGAAUUUGGCAAUAAACUUCUCUGCCAACUCAUCCCAAGUAUGGAUAGAAUGGUUCGGUAAGCGCUCUAGCCAAUCCAAAGCCUUUCCCCUUAGGGAGAAAGGAAAUAACCUCAAUUUCAAAGCGUCCUCGGACACAUUUAUUUGCUUACUUCCCCAACAAGCAUCUACGAAUCCCUUUUAAGUGCUUGUAUGCAUUUUGAUGAGGUGCUCCGGUGAAGUAGCCUCUUUGCUCAAGCAAGGUAAGCAUGACAUUUGUAAUUUGCAAAUUGCCCGCAUUAAUGCGAGGGGGGACAAUUGUACUUGCAUAGCCAUCAUUUAAUGCGACAUAUUGUUGAGCCGGUUAGCCAUGUGGAGGUGGUGGUGGUGGAGGCGGCGGAGGGUGGUUUUGGUUUUGCCCUCGACCACGGCGGUUUCCUUGAACCGGAGCCGCUUCUUCAUCUACCAUAUCUUCUUCAAUGGCCCCAAGAGGCAAAUCACCAAGGUCAUUGUUGUUCGCCAUUGGUAACCUAGAACAAGCACAUACGAAUCAAAGUAUCACGAAGUAAAGAUAAGAACUCAAGAAAACACACAAUUACAAAGUAACACAAGAACACCGUACUCCCCAGCAACGACGCCAAAUAUUGGUGACGUCCAAUCCUGCACCUGUAAAGGAAGUGUAGCACGAUCGUUAGCAAUAAUAAACCCAACAAAGGUUGGGGUCGAAUCCCACAAGGAGUAGGUGUGUGUUAGAGUGUCCAAAUGUGUAUAAACUUGAUAAUUCUUAAUGUAAUCUUCAAACAAAAGGUGGUUGUUCAAUUAAUUUAAAAGUUACUUCUAAAA